UACAGAGGCCUCGAGCGUUAGGCGGAAUCACUGGGCUUAAAGCGUGUGUAGGCGGACUUCUAAGUACCUUGUGAAAUCCCACGGCUUACCCGUGGAACUGCUUGGUAUACUGGUUGUCUUGGGCCAUCUAGGGGCUACUGGAACAAACGGUGGAGCGGUGAAAUGCGUAGAUAUCGUUUGGAACGCCAAUGGUGAAAACAAGUAGCUGGGGAUGUGCCGACGCUGAGACACGAAAGCCAGGGGAGCGAACGGG
rnacentral:rRNA from 1 species